AUUGAACGCUGGCGGCAUGCCUUACACAUGCAAGUCGAACGGUAACAGGUUAAGCUGACGAGUGGCGAACGGGUGAGUAAUGUAUCGGAACGUGCCCAGUCGUGGGGGAUAACUACUCGAAAGAGUGGCUAAUACCGCAUACGACCUGAGGGUGAAAGCGGGGGACCGUAAGGCCUCGCGCGAUUGGAGCGGCCGAUAUCAGAUUAGCUAGUUGGUGGGGUAAAAGCCCACCAAGGCGACGAUCUGUAGCUGGUCUGAGAGGACGACCAGCCACACUGGGACGGAGAAACGGCCCAGACUCCGACGGGAGGCAGAAGUGGGGAAUUUUGGACAAUGGGCGCAAGCCUGAUCCAGCAAUGCCGCGUGCAGGAAGAAGGCCUUCGGGUUGUAAACUGCUUUUGUCAGGGAAGAAAUCCUCUAGGCUAAUACCUUGGGGGGAUGACGGUACCUGAAGAAUAAGCACCGGCUAACUACGUGCCAGCCGCCGCCGUAACAC
rnacentral:rRNA from 1 species